UAGGGAAUUUUGCGCAAUGGGCGAAAGCCUGACGCAGCAACUCCGCGUGAUGGAUGAAGGCCUUCGGGUUGUAAACAUCUGUUGGGUGGGAAGAACAUCUUUCGGGCUAAUCACCGGAAGACUGACGGUACCACCUGAGGAAGCUCCGGCUAACUACGUGCCAGCAGCCGCGGUAAUACGUAGGGAGCAAGCGUUGUUCGGAAUCACUGGGCGUAAAGCGAGUGUAGGCGGGAAGGUAAGUUAGGAGUGAAAGGCGUGGGCUCAACCCGCGACCUGCUUUUAAUACUGCUUUUCUUGAGUAUGGGAGAGGUAGACGGAAUUCCAGGUGUAGCGGUGGAAUGCGUAGAUAUCUGGAAGAACACCAGUUGCGAAGGCGGUCUACUGGCCCAAUACUGACGCUGAGGCUCGAAAGUUAGGGGAGCAAACAGG
rnacentral:rRNA from 1 species